CAUUAACACUGUCUUUACAAAAACCUAGUCUUGUUACGCCUGACUUCACACACCGUGCUGGUUCUCGCCUCGUACUGGUCACAUUGCGAGGUAACGUGAAGUCAAGUCUUUCUAACACACUCGCUCUUAUAUAGUGUCUCUACUGGCCUACUCGAACCCUCUUGACCACUCCAGUUGAUCACUUUCGCCGUGACUUGCGUGCGUAAUAUUUACACACAGGUCGUUGCCGAACUGGCGAGUACUGUCACUGGUCACAGUUGACCGCUCUUCCUGCGCUGGACAGUGGCGAUUUGGCCCUGUUUUGAAUACAACUAGAUCAACAACUUCUGAAACUCCAAUAAUACUACCUGCAAGUGCUGCUAAAAGAAAAAUAACCCUAACAGCCUUUAAAUUUACUACAUAGAUUCUAAUGCUGACAACAUCAAUUAGAUCUAGAUGCUGCCUGAAGAUUUCAUGUCUGUGGCAUUUUACGUCUCAAGAAAAUAUAUUUUUCCUUUGCAACUUCUUGUGUGGCUAAAGAGGCCAAUUGAUACACAGCUGUGGUCACAUGUAAUCACCAGCCACCAUUGCAUUGUCACCUUUCUUCCUGCUGCUGUUGUGUAUGGCAUCUGCAAUCGGAAACCCUUCCUUUAUGCUCGUCUCUCCAUGUGGAUCUAUCCAGUGCCACCUUUUUCCCAGCCGCUAGUGUCGAUUUUGAAGAUGCACACUAUGAUAAACUCAAUGCAGUUGACUACAAUAAUCUCCAUGACCACAUUGUUUCAACAAGAACCUGUGUGCCACAUUGUAAGGGUCGAAAUUGAAAAAAAAAUAUUUUUAAGCUAUGUGCCAAAAAUGCUCCUAAUAUUCAAUGAUGAGCUCUGACCAGGAUAACAAUCACACAUUGUGUCCGGAUGGCACUACAUCUGGGUAUCACUUCAAAAUAUCAUAGCACGAGAGCAGCCAUAACAAAAAGUACAACCAGACCAUUACUAUUAUUAUGGAUACAGUGAUGGUCAAUACUGUUGUUGUGUUUUCAAUAAUAGUUUAAUUGCUUUUUAGUUAGUUACAAUGCUAUUAAUAUUAAAAGGUAUUUUUU